AGCCACCUGACAUAGACCAUCUCACUUCAUUUAUCCACAGCUAAGAGGAUCCACAGUCCUCAUAUGAGGUUGGAACCAGGGCCCAAACGUCACCCCCAAGCCCACACACUUCCUCUUCACAUGCAGCUGAGGCACCUUCCCUAAGACAAUGACUCGGGCCUCCUGAUGGCCUAAUCAGAUGGAGCUCACAGCCAGCCUGGACUUUGUAGUCAGACACAGAGCACUUCUGAUUUUUUCCCCAGCCGUUGAUGGAGGUAGGUGCUUUACAUGAUGACCAUAUCAUCAUGCCGAGAGUCCAAGGCCAAGGCCAAGUUUCCCACAGUUCCUUAGUGCUGAUCUUCUUUGUCAACAGAAAUUGAAAUCUUGCAAGGUCUGAUGCAGCCAACAACUCCUGUCAUCCUCCAGUGGUUCAUGAACAACUAGAAUCAAAGUUUUUAUCCCUGCAGGCUAGCAGGGGUUUUUGAAUAACACAUCCUGGCACAACCAACUGAUCCUGUUCUGUUUUGGAGAUUACAACCUGCAUGCAGUUCAGAGGGAAUGCUAUUCACCACUGGCUCUCAAAAUUGUUUGGGUCAAUCCUUUUGAGAACCUGAAGAAAUCUGAAGAAAUUUGAGAAUCUGGAAAAAAAAGCA
rnacentral:lncRNA from 12 species